GCUGGGCGCAGUGGCGCAUGCCUGUAAUCCCAGUGGCUCUGGAAGCGGAGGCAGGAGAAUUGUGAGUUCAAAGCCAGCCUCAGCAAAAGCGAGGCAGUAAGCACUUCAGUGAGACCCUGUCUCUA
rnacentral:sRNA from 1 species